UGACGCACACAGGAGAGCCAGGAUUCAUGCUCUACAUCCCCAUAGAGGGGAAUGAGAUGCUCUUUCAUAAAUGAUACCAAGUGCAAGAGAACUUAAGGCAGCUCCAAUCGAAGACUGUCUUGGCUGCUUCUGGAAACUACAGAUCACUACUCCCGAAGUCAAAAACGACUAGAACACAGCUUAAAAAUCAAGCCAUUUAAUUGUAUCUUUGAAGGUUGUGCAGGGCGACCACGGAACGGAUCAGCGAGGCCAAGUACACUACCACCAUCUGGUCAUUGGUCUUCAGGUAAAAGGCCUUGACGAACUCCUGCAGGCUGACAUCUGGCAGCAGGUUGAAGACGUCCUGCAGCUGGUAGAUGAUCUGGUGGUUGAUGGGCAGCUUGCCUGUGGCGACUUUUUCCAGGUAGCUCCUGAUAUCCAGAAGCUUGGAGUUCAGUCCCUUCAAACCAUGGACCUGGUUUGUGAUCCGCUGGGACAGAGUGCCCACCGUCGUGUCUUUGAUAUCUCUGUAAUAACCCACAGUUAAAAAGGGCAGGAAA
ensembl:lncRNA novel transcript, antisense to PSMD7